CCGGCGACCGGCGCACGGGUGAGUAACACGUAUGCAACCUACCUUUAACAGGGGGAGUAACACUGAGAAAUUGGUACUAAUACCCCAUAAUAUCAUAGAAGGCAUCUUUUAUGGUUGAAAAUUCCGAUGGUUAGAGAUGGGCAUGCGUUGUAUUAGCUAGUUGGUGGGGUAACGGCUCACCAAGGCGACGAUACAUAGGGGGACUGAGAGGUUAACCCCCCACACUGGUACUGAGACACGGACCAG
rnacentral:rRNA from 1 species